UCAUUUCGGAUGCAACCUCGCAAGCCAGAUCUCUACUUCCGCUUCCCUCCUAACACGCUCCAGCAGAGCGUGUUAAUUUGGGAGAGAAGCGGAAGUAAAGAGUCUGACUUGCAAGGUUGAUCGAAUUG
rnacentral:miRNA from 1 species